AUGGCUCACGCUGAUGCAGAAGAUCUGGUCAGUAGAUGUGAUGGAUGUCAAAAAUUUGCACGACGAGCGCAUGUGCCGGCUCAAGAGCUCCGGAUGAUUCCAAUCACUUGGCCGUUUGCGGUCUGGGGGCUUGACAUGGUGGGACCUUUCAAAAGGUCUAAGGAUAAAAAGAUACAUCUCUUGGUGGCAGUUGAUAAGUUCACCAAAUGGGUUGAGGCGGAGCCUGUGAGUAAGUGUGAUGCAACCACGGCAGUUCAGUUCAUGAAAAAAGUAAUCUUCCGUUUCGGUUUUCCACAAAGUAUUAUCACAGAUAAUGGCACUAAUCUGUCCCAAGGGGCUAUGGAAGAGUUUUGUCAGCGAGAGCACAUCCGACUUGAUGUUUCUUCUGUAGCUCAUCCUCAAUCCAAUGGUCAAGCUGAGAGAGCCAAUCAGGAAAUUCUGAAAGGGCUAAAACCCCGGCUUAUGGUUCCUUUAUAG
rnacentral:rRNA from 1 species